CGCGUAGGCGGUUUUGUAAGUCGGAUGUGAAAGCCCUGGGCUUAACCUGGGAAUUGCAUUCGAUACUGCAUAACUAGAGUAUGGUAGAGGGAAGUGGAAUUUCCGGUGUAGCGGUGAAAUGCGUAGAUAUCGGAAGGAACACCAGUGGCGAAGGCGACUUCCUGGGCCAAUACUGACGCUGAGGUGCGAAAGCGUGGGGAGCAAACA
rnacentral:rRNA from 1 species